CCGAACUGUCAACAAGAGCUGUUGCUGGUCCCUAUAUGGGGGCAUGUGCACGCUCUGUUUACACAUCCACUCACACCUGUGCACCCUCUGUAGUUCUGUGGCCUGGGGGGCUCUGUCCUCCUGCCGUGGUUCUACGUCUUUACACACACACUGUAAUGAAGUCUUAUGGAAUGUAUGUCGCGUUUAACGCAAUGAAAUA
rnacentral:misc_RNA from 1 species